UUUAAGUUCUUUUAUCAUUACUCAAGUAAAAUGCCAAUCACUUGGGGCAGAGCAGUAGAGUAUUGGCAACAGAAACGGCUCAGAAAGGGAUUGAAAGCAGAAGACCACUUUCAUAAAUGGAGGGGACAAAAUGAAUGCCAGUAUAUCAAGAAAGAGAAAAACUGAUGCACAUUAACUCAAAGUAGGAAGAACAAAGCCAUCUUCUCCCAGAAAAGUAGAAUUCCAACUGGGCCUGGAGCAAUGACACAGAUGAGUCCUGAUGAAGUGACUUGGCCCGAAACAUCAACUGUUCCUCUCCAUGGACUCUGCUUGACCUGCUGAGUUCCUCCAGCAUUUUGUCUGCACUGCAGUCCAGUAUCUAGAUUGACAUUUUCAAGCUAGUGUUUCUAAUUUAAGCUCAUUUAUUUUAUUCCCUGAAUUCAAACCAUUCCCAGCAGUGAAUGCUAACCAACUAUAUCAUCUGAGACAUAAGAGCAACACACACGAAGCAACACUGGAGAAAAAAAAAGCUGAGGAAUAGAUUUUAAAGGUGGGGGGAAGAAGAGAGAGAACCACCAGGUGAUUGGUGAAACCUGGAGGGGGAGGGAUGAAGUAAAGAGCUGGGAAGUUGAUUGGUCCCUUGUCUAUUUGUCCCUCCCCACUGAUCUCCCUCCUGGCACUCUUCCCUGCAAGCGGAACAAGUGCUACACCUGUCCCUAUACCUCCUCCCUCACUACCAUUCAGGGCCCCAAACAGUCCUUCCAGGUGAGGCGACACUUCACCUGUGAAUCUGCUGGGGUCAUAUACUGUGUCCGGUGCUCCUGAUGUGGUCUCCUGUAUAUCGGUGAGACCCAACGUGGAUUGGGAGACCACUUUGCAGAGCACCUACGCUCCGUCCACCAGAAGAAGCAGGAUCUCCCAGUGGCCAGCUAUUUUAAUUCCACUUCCCAUUCUCAUUCCGAUAUGUCAGUCCAUGGCCUCCUCUACUGUUGUGAUGAGACCAUGCUCAGCUUGGAGGAACAACACCUUAUAUUCCGUUUGGGUAGCUUCCAACCUGAUGAGAUGAACAUCAAUUUCUCAAACUUCCAGUAAUGCCCUCCAACCCCUCCCCCUUUCCUUCUCCAUUUCCCAUCCCCUUUUCCCCCUCUCACCUCAUCUCCUUGUCCGCCCAUCGCCUCCCUCUUUCCUCUUUUCUUUCUUCCAUGACCUCUGUCUCUUUCACCAAUCAACUUCCCAGCUCUUUACUUCAUCCCUCCCCCUCAGGUUUCACCUAUCACCUGGUGAUCCUCUCUCCCCUCCUCCACCUUUUAAAUCUACUCCUCAGCUUUCUCUUCUCCAGUCCUGCCAAAGGGUUUCGGCCCGAAACAUUGACUGUACUUUUUCAACAGAUGCUGCCUGGCCUGCAGAGUUCCUCCAGCAUUUUGUAUGUGUUGCCUGGAUUUCCAGCAUCUGCAGAUUUUCUCUUUGUCGUCUGAGACAUAAGAUACCGCAGAUGCUGGAAACUGGAGAAGCAAACAAUGGGUUAUGCAGCAA